CAGCGCCCCAAGUGGUGACCAUAUUUAUUGGGCCUAAAGCGUCUGUAGCCGGAUUAAAAAGUCCUUGGUGAAAUCCUAAUGCUUAAAGUUAGGGCGUGCUAAGGAUACUAUUAAUCUAGGGACCGGGAGGGGUAGAAAGUAUUCCAUGGGUAGGGGUAAAAUCCUUUAAUCCAUGGAAGACUACCGGUGGCGAAGGCGUUCUACUAGAACGGGUCCGACGGUGAGAGACGAAAGCGUGGGUAGCGAAUCGGAUUAGAUACCCGCGUAGUCC
rnacentral:rRNA from 1 species